CUGUGUUAAUAGUGUUAUGAAUAAUUUUUUGUGAAAGCUUUUUAUAGACAAGUUGUGGUCUCGUUUUUGGAGGUUGAGCUGUAUCAUGCAGAAUAACAUGGAAAGUGGUCACAUGGAAGCAUGAGAAUAUG
rnacentral:lncRNA from 1 species